rnacentral:rRNA from 1 species
AUUGAACGCUGGCGGAAUGCUUUACACAUGCAAGUCGAACGGCAGCACGGACUUCGGUCUGGUGGCGAGUGGCGAACGGGUGAGUAAUGUAUCGGAACGUGCCCAGUCGUGGGGGAUAACGUAGUGAAAAUUACGCUAAUACCGCAUACGAUCUAUGGAUGAAAGCGGGGGAUCGCAAGACCUCGCGCGAUUCGAGCGGCCGAUAUCAGACUAGGUAGUUGGUGGGGUAAAGGCCCACCAAGCCAACGAUCUGUAGCUGGUCUGAGAGGACGACCAGCCACACUGGAACUGAGACACGGUCCAGACUCCUACGGGAGGCAGCAGUGGGGAAUUUUGGAAAAUGGGCGAAAGCCUGAUCCAGCCAUUCCGCGUGCAGGAUGAAGGCCCUCGGGUUGUAAACUGCUUUUGUACAGAACGAAAAGGUUUCUACUAAUACUAGGAGCUCAUGACGGUACUGUAAGAAUAAGCACCGGCUAACUACGUGCCAGCAGCCGCCGUAA